CACGUAGGGUGCGAGCGUUGUCCGGAAUUAUUGGGCGUAAAGAGCUCGUAGGCGGUGUGUCGCGUCGGCCGUGAAAACCUGCAGCUUAACUGUGGGCUUGCGGUCGAUACGGGCAUCACUGGAGUUCGGCAGGGGAGACUGGAAUUCCUGGUGUAGCGGUGAAAUGCGCAGAUAUCAGGAGGAACACCGGUGGCGAAGGCGGCUCUCUGGGACGGUACUGGACGCUGAGACGCGAAAGCCGUGGGGAGCGAACAGG
rnacentral:rRNA from 1 species